GAGAAUGCUAAGAAGCCAUUCCAAGGUUUUUGGUCUAAUUCUUGAUCACCUUUGGUUAUUGGGUGUAAUCAAAGCAACAAAUCCACACUGGUUAUUUUUCUGAAUCUGUGUGCUUCAUAAGUGGUUUUCUUUUUCAUAAUCUGUAUGCUUGCUUUACUUUUUUUUUAAUUGAAGGGUUUAUACUACUGGCUAUUGUCUCACUCUUAAGAUUUGGUUACGGUAG
rnacentral:misc_RNA from 1 species